CCGAACCCGAUACCCUCUUCUUCUCCCUCCCCGCCUCUCUCUCUCUCUCUCUCUAUCUCUCUCCCCCUCCUUCCCCUCUCCCACAGAUCCAAGCCCUAACCCUAGUUUCUCUCCUCGGUCCCUUUUGCUAAUGGCUUCUCUCAAAUAACACCUCCGUCGCCGGUGCUCCUCUUCACAAAUCCAAGCUCAAUCCCGAAACUCCGGCACGGCGCCGUGUGACGCAGAUGGCGGUGGGGGUGAUGGUGAGGCUCGGAUUGGAAAAUUAAGAGUCCACAGGGUAUUGAAAAUUUUGGAGAAAAAAACAAGUAUAUCCUUCCAAAAUGAUACAGAAAUUGCACUUAGGGUUAUCGGUGCCGAUGGAUGAAACAUUCUAUGCGAAACCGGUCAUUUGUCAUUCAGGCCAAAGUGGAGACCAUAGUUACGGAGGGCGACGAGACUGCGACAAUUGUGUCGAUCGUAAACAAGAUUGGAGCCACAACGCUUGUUGCAGGGCUUCAUGAUCAGAUCUUCCUCUAUAGAGCUCAAGAUCUAAGUUACGGUGUACGGAGUCUCGGCUGUCGAGUGCUUGCUUGCUGCAAUGUGUGAGGGCUUUAUAAAUGCAGAGUUCUUUCAAAUUGAAACUGCAAGGUGGGUGGCUUGGGAUUAUUGCACGAAAGCCAAAUUUAUGUCCGAUUCACUAUCCAAGUUGGAAUGUUAUGCCUCUUAUGUUCAAAACUAAACUGCUCUUGUUGACUCGGGGAACUUGGAGAAGUAAAUACCUUGAUGUUACUUUGUCAAUUAUUUUCCUUCUUUUGCAUGGAACUUGGAAAAGUUUUAAGUUUAUAUCAGUGCUCGGAAAUGAUGAAUAUUGUCUGACAUAUACUAUUUUGGUGGGAAUCCUGAAGCAAUUGAGUUCUGCUCAUAUUACUCUUUUCGUCACAUUUUGUUUGCAGCUGCAUAUACAUUACCAGAGGGCAUUCGUUUAAACUGAAAACAAUAUAUACGCUAUACGAUUAAUAAUUCAUUGUGAAUAAAGAAGUGAUGAAAAUUUUGUUUGUUCUUAUUAUUCCCUGCUUCUAUAGUAGGAGAGAAUUUUUGAUUUCUUAA